ACUCCUACGGGAGGCAGCAGUAGGGAAUCUUCCACAAUGGGCGCAAGCCUGAUGGAGCAACACCGCGUGAGUGAAGAAGGGUUUCGGCUCGUAAAGCUCUGUUGUUAAAGAAGAACACGUAUGAGAGUAACUGUUCAUACGUUGACGGUAUUUAACCAGAAAGUCACGGCUAACUACGUGCCAGCAGCCGCGGUAAUACGUAGGUGGCAAGCGUUAUCCGGAUUUAUUGGGCGUAAAGAGAGUGCAGGCGGUUUUCUAAGUCUGAUGUGAAAGCCUUCGGCUUAACCGGAGAAGUGCAUCGGAAACUGGAUAACUUGAGUGCAGAAGAGGGUAGUGGAACUCCAUGUGUAGCGGUGGAAUGCGUAGAUAUAUGGAAGAACACCAGUGGCGAAGGCGGCUACCUGGUCUGCAACUGACGCUGAGACUCGAAAGCAUGGGUAGCGAACAGGAUUAGAUACCCUGGUAGGAUACCG
rnacentral:rRNA from 1 species